GCCGGGCGCGGUGGCUCACGCCUGUAAUCCCAGCAUUUUGGGAGGCUGAGGCAGGUGGAUCACCUGAGGCCAGGAGUUCGAGACCAGCCUGACCAAUAUGGUGAAAUCCCGUCUCUA
rnacentral:SRP_RNA from 1 species